AGGGCUAGCGUCGAUGUUAAGUCUCUUGGAGGUAGAGCACUGUUUGAUUGAGGGGUCCAUCCCGGAUUACCAAUAUCAGAUAAACUCCGAAUGCCAACGAGAUAUAAUCGGCAGUCAGACUGCGAGUGCUAAGAUCCGUAGUCGAAAGGGAAACAGCCCAGACCACCAGCUAAGGUCCCAAAGUAAUCGUUAAGUGGAAAAGGAUGUGACGUUGCUUAGACAACCAGGAUGUUGGCUCAGAAGCAGCCAUCAUUUAAAGAGUGCGUAAUAGCUCACUGGUCGAGUGACGCUGCGCCGAAAAUGUAUCGGGGCUAAACGAUUCACCGAAGCUGUGGAUGCAUACCUAGGGUAUGCGUGGUAGGAGAGCGUUCUAAUUGCGUUGAAGUCAGAUCGUAAGGACUGGUGGAGCGAUUAGAAGUGAGAAUGCCGGUAUGAGUAGCGAAAGAUGAGUGAGAAUCUCAUCCACCGAAUGACUAAGGUUUCCUGAGGAAGGCUCGUCCGCUCAGGGUUAGUCGGGACCUAAGCCGAGGCCGAUAGGCGUAGGCGAUGGACAACAGGUUGAUAUUCCUGUACCACCUCCUCACCGUUUGAGAAAUGGGGGGACGCAGUAGGAUAGGGUAAGCAGAGCGUUGGUUGUCUCUGUUCAAGCAGUAAGGCGUGUGUGUAGGCAAAUCCGCACACUAUAACGUUGAGCUGUGAUGACGAGCUCGUAUGAGCGAAGUUCCUGAUUUCACACUGCCAAGAAAAGCCUCUAUCGAGGUGAGAGGUGCCCGUACCGCAAACCGACACAGGUAGUCGAGGAGAGAAUCCUAAGGUGUGCGAGAGAACUCUCGUUAAGGAACUCGGCAAAAUGACCCCGUAACUUCGGGAGAAGGGGUGCUCUUUUGGGUGCAAGCCCGAGAGAGCAGCAGUGAAUAGGCCCAGGCGACUGUUUAGCAAAAACACAGGUCUCUGCAAAACCGUAAGGUGAAGUAUAGGGGCUGACGCCUGCCCGGUGCUGGAAGGUUAAGAGGAGUGGUUAGCGCAAGCGAAGCUGCGAAUUGAAGCCCCAGUAAACGGCGGC
rnacentral:rRNA from 1 species